rnacentral:snoRNA from 1 species
UUGGAGUCAAAGUGGCAUUCUUCAAAAAUAAUAUUCGAUCUGUGUCUCAAAAGCUCCAACAUAAACAGAUAGUCGAACGGCAUCCUGGAUAAUCCUCAUAUUAUAGCAGAUGACUUGUGUUCGACUACAAU